GACGAACGCUGGCGGCGUGCCUAAUACAUGCAAGUCGAGCGAAGUUUUUCUGGUGCUUGCACCGGAAAAACUUAGCGGCGAACGGGUGAGUAACACGUAAAGAACCUGCCUUAUAGACUGGGACAACUAUUGGAAACGAUAGCUAAUACCGGAUAACAGCAUUAACUGCAUGGUUGAUGUUUGAAAGUUGGUUUUGCUAACACUAUGAGAUGGCUUUGCGGUGCAUUAGCUAGUUGGUGGGGUAAAGGCCUACCAAGGCGACGAUGCAUGGCCGACCUGAGAGGGUGAUCGGCCACACUGGGACUGAGACACGGCCCAGACUCCUACGGGAGGCAGCAGUAGGGAAUCUUCCGCAAUGGGCGAAAGCCUGACGGAGCAACGCCGCGUGAGUGAAGAAGGAUUUCGGUUCGUAAAGCUCUGUUGUUAGGGAAGAAUGAUUGUGUAGUAACUAUACACAGUAGAGACGGUACCUAACCAGAAAGCCACGGCUAACUACGUG
rnacentral:rRNA from 1 species